rnacentral:snRNA from 1 species
GGAUGUGAGGGCGAUCUGGCUGCGACAUCUGUUUGCAUAGCCAGUCUGUCUGCAUAUCGGCUGACACAGCUGACACGGCUGACCUGGCUGGCAAGGCGGGGGUCCCCUUCCUCCCUCUCCGCCCCACGUGCGUCCCUCCCAAAGCCACGCACUCCUCGAAGAGGCCGACCUUCCCACUAGAGGAGGACCCUGCUUGGGUCAAGGGCAUACGAGUGGCUGCGCUCCCUGCUACAACCUCCAGACUAGCUCUCAGGAAAGCAAAAAGCCAUGCCGCAGGAUGGGAGAAAACAUUUGCAAAUCAGAUAUCAGAUCAGGGCCUAUAAAUGAGAAAAUGUAAGAACUACAGCAAUUCAUGAAUU